rnacentral:piRNA from 1 species
AUCAUAUUUUUCUUAUUGCAUGUCAGCUA